rnacentral:rRNA from 1 species
AUGAACGCUGGCGGCGUGCCUCAUACCUGCAAGUCGCGCGAACGGACGAGAAGCUUGCUUCUCUGAUGUUAGCGGCGGACGGGUGAGUAACACGUGGAUAACCUACCUAUAAGACUGGGAUAACUUCGGGAAACCGGAGCUAAUACCGGAUAAUAUUUUGAACCGCAUGGUUCAAAAGUGAAAGACGGUCUUGCUGUCACUUAUAGAUGGAUCCGCGCUGCAUUAGCUAGUUGGUAAGGUAACGGCUUACCAAGGCAACGAUGCAUAGCCGACCUGAGAGGGUGAUCGGCCACACUGGAACUGAGACACGGUCCAGACUCCUACGGGAGGCAGCAGUAGGGAAUCUUCCGCAAUGGGCGAAAGCCUGACGGAGCAACGCCGCGUGAGUGAUGAAGGUCUUCGGAUCGUAAAACUCUAUUAUUAGGGAAGAACAUAUGUGUAAGUAACUGUGCACAUCUUGACGGUACCUAAUCAGAAAGCCACGGCUAACUACGUG